rnacentral:tRNA from 1 species
GGCCUCGUAGCUCAGCUGGUAGAGCGUGCGCGUACAAGGCGUGGGUUCGAAUCCGACCGAGGCUA